rnacentral:lncRNA from 1 species
CAAGAAGCUCACAUUCGACUGAUGGGGAACAGUAAACAAAUAUGACAAACUACAUACAGGAUAAAUGGGAAAUACUUAAAAGAUUAUCUAAGACAUUAGAAUUAAUAUGGGUUGAGAAAAGCUUUCUGUUAAAGCAGGGAUUUUAGCUGGAUCUUGCAGGAAAUAAUCAGUAAGUGAACAUAUGGAAAGGAAGCAUCUCAGACAUGGGAAACAACUACAGAAAACACCUUGGACUGAGACCGAGUUUCUUGUUCAAGGAAAAAGUAAGGAGUACAGAGUGUGGUGGUGAGGCAUAAAGUGAAAGAAGAAUGAAAAGGUAGAGGAAGGGGAGGUAGGUUAUGAAGACUCUUGAAUCUAAACAGGUUUUCAUUUUUGGUGCUAGAAGUGACAAGAACUCACUAGAGUUUAUUGAUGAUGAGGAGAAUUAUAUGACUGCCUAUGCUUUAGAAAAAUACUUAUCAGGCUGAAUGGAGGAUGUAGUGGGAAGGGGUCUGAAGCAGGCAUACUGAUUAGUAGGCUCCUACAGUAGUUUAAAUAUGAAGUGAUGAAGGCCUACACAAACAUGGUGGCAGAAUCAGAGGACAGAAGGAGGUAUGUAUAGUCAGGUCUGGCAAUAGACUGGAUAUAGGGUGUUAAGUACCAAAAGUGUCAUCCACUUAAAGAUGAUGGGAUUUAAGGAUAAUUAUCCAUACUAAACAAAUUUACAAGAGACUGAUCAUGUAAACAGAAUGCCAAUUUAUUGACAAAAAGAGAUAUGCCUAUUAAUAGUGUUGGCAUCAAUUAUUUUGAUAGGGCUAAGCCUCAGAAUGAACAAAUCCACUUAGAAGACUACCUCCAAAUAAGUCUCUUUGAGGCUGGGGAAAACACUCAUAACAUUUAUUUCUCCUUCCAUUUCCUGUCACUGCCCCCCUUGCUCCCCACUCCCAAACCCUUUAAUCCAUGCCCAGACAGUCAGAUUUUCUUCCAACCUCUGUGGAGUCUUUAGAGAGAAUUAGAAACAAUGGAAGGAAAAGGGGAAAGUCAGCACUAUCUCCUUAGCAAAAGUCCCUAAUCCCAUGCAUUAUUUUCAGUUUAGGUAUCACAUUUUAGCACAGCAUUAGAGAAGUUGGAGUAUAUCCAGAAAAAAAAGAACAGAAUGAUGCUGGAACUAUAGAUGAUGCUGCAUGACGAUCGACUGAAGUCACUGGCAAAGUUUAGCCUGGAAAAAGACAAAUGAUAAAUAUGUAACUAUA